rnacentral:rRNA from 1 species
CCUACGGGAGGCUGCAGUGAGGAAUAUUGGUCAAUGGACGAGAGUCUGAACCAGCCAAGUAGCGUGAAGGAUGACUGCCCUAUGGGUUGUAAACUUCUUUUAUAUGGGAAUAAAAUGUUCCACGUGUGGGAUUUUGUAUGUACCAUAUGCAUAAGGAUCGGCUAACUCCGUGCCAGCAGCCGCGGUAAUACGGAGGAUCCGAGCGUUAUCCGGAUUUAUUGGGUUUAAAGGGAGCGUAGGUGGAUUGUUAAGUCAGUUGUGAAAGUUUGCGGCUCAACCGUAGAAUUGCAGUUGAAACUGGCAGUCUUGAGUACAGUAGAGGUGGGCGGAAUUCGUGGUGUAGCGGUGAAAUGCUUAGAUAUCACGAAGAACUCCGAUUGCGAAGGCAGUUCACUGGACUGCAACUGACACUGAGGCGCGAAAGUGUGGGUAUCAAACAGGAUUAGAUACCCUUGUAGUC